rnacentral:misc_RNA from 1 species
AAUCUCCGAUUUGUAAAGAAUCGAUUACAUAAUUGCAAUUGCAUCGCAGGAGAUUUUCAAUUUCUUGUUCGGGUAAUAAACCUGGAACAAAGCGUUCCAGCCGGCGUCAGUCUCUGCGAGGAUGUGAAAAAGUUCAAGGUGGUACUAGAAAGCGAGGUUACAUGAAUUUCGGGGUGGUGGGGGCGGAUGACGAGCCAGCGUAUGAAGAGGAUGGUAAAGAAUAAAACGGUAACAACGAUUGGAGCUGCGAUUAAGUGGCGGAGCUGGGGUGGUGUGUGAGUUGGGAUUUGCUGGUGGUUGGUUGUAAUAGUAUGGGUUAGUGGGCGGCGGUGGUGCGUGGUCGGUGGCAAAUUGCGGUGGACGGUAGCUUUAGGUUGCUGGGCGGGGGCGACAGAGUAGCCAGUACCGGGUCUUAAAGGGUCUACCAUGGUGGAUGUUAAGAGCUAAAAAGGAGACCGUGUUGAAUUGAUAAGAGAGAGGCAGAGAGAGAGACUUUGUUUAAUGGGUUUCUUGCGAAUACUAUCUUCCUAUAACAACAUCAAACUAUAGAUUGCCGUGGAAUUAAUGAAGUAACAAAAGAAAAAACAACGUGCAGAUAAACAUGCAAGAGUUUGCACCUCAUUGAAAAAAAAAGUGAGGAAAAAAGAAGAAAAGAAACCAAUAAAUAAAUAAUUAAUUCAACAGUUAAUUAAUAGGGAUAGAUGAUUAAGAAAAAUACGAGGAAAACAGGACUCAAUCAAUUCAAAUGAAGUGAGCAGCCUUUCGCUGCACUCAUGAGCUUCCCUGUCCUCUUGGUAGAUAGGAAUUCAACAGUUAAAGCCAGACACGAAACAUGGAAAAAUCUCUUCUUGGUAGGCCAAACGCCAAGAUCGUAUUUAGUUCUGACAAAUAAUCCUACAUUGAAAUUGACAAUCUUUUUGCUCCAAUCAUCACUUAUUUCCUUGAACACCCUGUUUUUGAUCGAGUGAACCGAGUGCCUGUCUAAAACUACCAUCAACUUUUCCUGAGCCGUCUUUGGAACGGAGACGCUAAUUUCUUGCAAAACUCUCAGCGAGAUGAUGGCUCUUCCGUAGGACACAGUAACUUUGACAUCGUCAAUGACAAGGUUUACCUUCUUGUUUGUAUUAUUUACAGAGAAUUCUAUGUCAUAAUUUGCAGUAAAUUGACUAUCAGAAAGGGUAAUGUUGGAUAUGCAGAGAGAGUUGAGUCCGAAAGUGGGAUCAUGCGGAUCAAUGACAAGCCAUAUGACGGCGCUGACAAAGCUUAAUGUAAGAAAUGACAUAACAAGUAACAGCAUCAAACGGGUAAUACAGUUAUGGAAACUCCGUGAUUGAUUAGGCCGAGCGGCUGCGGAAUUUAUUUGCAGCGUUGUUGAUGGCGGCUGUAGUCCGUAAGUACCAGGACUAGAAAUUGGAAGGCUGUUAGGAUCCAUAUAAAAGAUUAUCGGUUGGCCCAAGCUUGUGUCUGAGCAAGUCACAGAGUAGUUAAUGUCGAAGAGAUGUACCGUUUUUUUUCAAGAUAACCAAGGGCAAGAGAGAUGGCCCUUUUAAAUAAAUCCAGGUUAAAUAAAUCCCAGGAGACGCGUAUUCUUCCGAGGAAAAUUCCAAGCAAGCAUCCUGACGCCCUUGCCGUGAAGCUUCCUAUGCAACCACCACGUCACUCGAACGUAGAGACUAGACCACACAAGGUUACUCGAAGUUGUCGUCACACAAAUGUAAGCAUCCCAAGGAAGAGAAACACAUUAAUAUCAAAACAAUCCCCUACUCGUGACAUCUGGUAAUGAUCCCACAACAAAUUUAAAAAAGCCCACCUUUUGCCUGGUCCAAUGCUGACCGCUAAUGCACAAGGAAGAUUCAAUGAUGUGUUGUGGAAAUAGCG